CCCCCCCCCCCCCCCCCCCCCCCCCCCCCCCCCCCCCCCCCCCCCCCCCCCCCCCCCCCCCCCCCCCCCCCCCCCCCCCCCCCCCCCCCCCCUUCCUUCCCUUCCUUCCCUUCCUUCCCUUCCUUCCCUUCCUUCCCUUCCUUCCUUCCUUCCCUUAUUUUCCUUCUUUUUCUUCCCAGCCAAGCUGAGCCCAAACAAUUUCUAUACACACACAAAUCCACCUCCCCAGAGAAAGUUGCUGCGGUCGCGUUUCUGGCAGUGGUUCCCGAGCCCUGCCUCUGUCCCCCGCUCCCCUCCGCCACGGCCGGCUCUCCGGUCGGAUGGGAUGCGCCGGGAGCUGGGUCGGGAAGGCAGGCUCGUUUCCACCGCUAAACAAAGGCUGGAAAUGCACCAACAAAGGACCUGGCGCGUCCCCUCCGCCCCGUGCGAGCGCCGCAGGUGAGGGCUGGGGCUUGCCCGGCCGGAUGCGGGGGGUCCUGCUGCGGAGCAGUAUUUGAAUUGGCGGCGGGGGAAAAGAUGCGAGUCUGCAGGGCUUCAGGAGAAACUGGUCGUUCACUUCCAGUUUCCAUUGCGAGUGCCCCAGAGCAGGAGGAGCAGCUUCCCCCCGAGGAAGCGCCUCCCGUCGGGCAGAGGGCAGCGGGCAGCGGGCGCUGGCCCCUCCCGUUUCUCCAGCCCUGGCCACUCUCGGCAGCCCGGGGGUCGCAGCAGGAGCGGCUCGGUGAGAACCAAUACGGAGAAGCAACAGUUCCCCGGCACGUCGAGGGAAGGGAAGAACCUGCUUUUCCCCCGGGCACGGCUUUCUCCGGCAUGGGGAGGGAGCGAGCGGCGGCACGGCUGGGCUGCCUUGCUCCGCGGCUCUUGCCGGGCCCCCCCCCCCCCCUUGCUCCGCGGCUCUUGCCGGGCGCGGGGGCGAGUGUUGGGGAACGGCUACGGGAGCAACAAAAAAUAGACCUCAGGGUGCAAGAAGUGAGGAAGCAGUGGCUCUCCAGACAGCCUGUCCUUACACGCCGUCUCCACGUCGAUGGAAAACUCCAAACCUCGGUGGAAAACUCCAAUACUCCAGGCACUAGUAAUGAUAAGAGGAACAAUAAUGACAACAAUGAUAAUGUGUUUCCGUAUAUUAAAGCAUAGAAAAUAAAUA
rnacentral:lncRNA from 12 species